UACGUAGGGUGCGAGCGUUAAUCGGAAUUACUGGGCGUAAAGCGUGCGCAGGCGGUUGUGUAAGACAGGUGUGAAAUCCCCGGGCUUAACCUGGGAACUGCGCUUGUGACUGCACGACUGGAGUACGGCAGCGGGGGGUGGAAUUCCACGUGUAGCAGUGAAAUGCGUAGAGAUGUGGAGGAACACCGAUGGCGAAGGCAGCCCCCUGGGCUAGUACUGACGCUCAUGCACGAAAGCGUGGGUAGCAAACAGGAUUAGAUACCCUGGUAGUCCACGCCCUAAACGAUGCCAACUAGGUGUUGGGGAAGGAGACUUCCUUAGUACCGUAGCUAACGCGUGAAGUUGGCCGCCUGGGGAGUACGGUCGCAAGAUUAAA
rnacentral:rRNA from 1 species